rnacentral:rRNA from 1 species
GGGUAAAGGCCCACCAAGGCGACUAUCCGUAUCUGGUCUGUAAGGAUGAUCAGCCACACUGGAACUGAGACACGGUCCAGACUCCUACGGGAGGCAGCAGUGGGGAAUAUUGGACAAUGGGCGCAAGCCUGAUCCAGCCAUACCGCGUGGGUGAAGAAGGCCUUCGGGUUGUAAAGCCCUUUUGUUGGGAAAGAAAUCCAGCCGGCUAAUACCUGGUUGGGAUGACGGUACCCAAAGAAUAAGCACCGGCUAACUUCGUGCCAGCAGCCGCGGUAAUACGAAGGGUGCAAGCGUUACUCGGAAUUACUGGGCGUAAAGCGUGCGUAGGUGGUUGUUUAAGUCUGUUGUGAAAGCCCUGGGCUCAACCUGGGAACUGCAGUGGAAACUGGACAACUAGAGUGUGGUAGAGGGUAGCGGAAUUCCCGGUGUAGCAGUGAAAUGCGUAGAGAUCGGGAGGAACAUCCAUGGCGAAGGCAGCUACCUGGACCAACACUGACACUGAGGCACGAAAGCGUGGGGAGCAAACAGGAUUAGAUACCCUGGUAGUCCACGCCCUAAACGAUGCGAACUGGAUGUUGGGUGCAAUUUGGCACGCAGUAUCGAAGCUAACGCGUUAAGUUCGCCGCCUGGGGGAGUACGGUCGCAAGACUGAAACUCAAGGGAAUUGGACGGGGGCCCGCACAAAGC